UGCACUUCACUACGUCAGUACAAUUAUCAUAAACAAGAGAGAAGCAGCAGUGAAGACGACAUGCAGCCUCAGACAACCUCCAUGCUGCUGUGCCCAUUGUCAGCCACUGGGUCGGAUUUGGAGGGAGAUCUGUUGGACAGAAAACAGUUGCUGGAAGCUGUUCAUCCAGACAAAAAGGCUCAGGCUUUCAGAAUUUCUGAUGACGGCAGAUUUUGGAAGGAGUGAAACAGCCUUCAACCUUCAACGUGUUUAUUCUCUUCAGAGAGGACUAGGACUUAGCAGUAGUAGAUAACAGUCUACUCUGAAUCAAAAUGUCUUUUGUUUGACAAAACGGUCCUACUGUAACUUUCAACAGCAUCUCACAGUCUUCCUCAGUGGAUGGAGUUUGCACAGUUGUCAUGGAGAUACCUCAGUUGCACCUUAGUAUGGAACUUGAUGAUAUAUGAUUUACGAUGCUGUUUUAUCAUAACACCCAGCAGUGGGUUUCAGGCUGUGGCGUCAUAAAUCUGCUGAGCCCUCUUACAUUUAAACUGCCUUUGAAUCCAACACUCACCCAAGCAAAGAGCAGAUACUCUGCGGCUUGACUCGGCAUUAUAUCUACAUUGUAUCUGCUUGGGCUAAACUAGGUAGUAGGAUCCAGAAAUGCUUGAAAGGCUUUCAUCUGAUCUUUUUUUCCCUUUCAAGACUGUGAAAGAACCAAAAAAGCAUCUGACCUUCAGACCAACUAAACGCAAAUAAAAUGAGUCCAAGUGAUCGACAGUGUGCAGGAUUUUGUGAUCCUGUCAGAACCAGUCAGUAUUGACCCGACACACCUGUUCAUAUGACACUCUGGUGUGCAAGUGCUUUGUUGUAGGCUAAUUAUUCCCUUUCAAGGCUGAAAUUACACAAUUUGGUCAACUGGUGUCUCACAGAAGUUACAUUAAACAGUGUAAGUUCCCUGAUAUGUCAAAUCCUGAGCGGUUAGCCAUCGAACAGAUAUAUUUAGGCACAGUCUAGACUCAGCUGCAUUGCAGUACAGAUUUUAUUUCCCAGGUAAAGCAGUCUUAAAUCUGCUGGGAAGAGCUCUCACACAGUGGAUGGGAAAAGCCUGAAAUGACAAUUUACAGCCUUUCAGUACAUCAAACGCCUCGAUCGUCUUCAGUGAUCGUUUUUAUUAGUACAAGCUUCUGUCAGCUGCAGAAGUCAUGGCCGUCCUGGCCCUGAUUGUGACGUAUGGAGAUGGAACUGUCAGCCUGAAAGCCUCUCUUUGUUACUGUCCCGCUGUCUGAGUGAUGACUGCUAAACAUCAGCUCUACUGUAACUGGAGGAUAAUUGAGUGAAACGGAAAGCAGUGAUGAUUUGGUUAAAUGGCACACAGCUGAGAGAAACAAUACAGCACUGAAAGACCAAACCACAAUGAUACUGCAGACUGUCUGAGAUCUCCAGAGAGAAGAGACUUCUUCUUGGAUUCGACAUUUGAUUCACUUGCACAAAGUCAAGGAGAAGCUCGGCUAACCUGGGGUUUGUUUACAACCUGUGUGAUCGUGUGACUCCUUCCGAGAGAUGUCACCUUGUUCCCAGGGCUCAGCAAUUAACUUGGCCAAAGACAGAAAUAGGAGGACAAUCAUGCAGCUUUAUAGGACUGAGGUAAGGCUGGUGUGAUAUUUUUCUUCUUGUC